rnacentral:rRNA from 1 species
UACGAAGGGGGCUAGCGUUGUUCGGAAUUACUGGGCGUAAAGCGCACGUAGGCGGAAUGUUAAGUCAGGGGUGAAAUCCCGGGGCUCAACCCCGGAACUGCCUUUGAUACUGGCGACCUUGAGUCCGGGAGAGGUGAGUGGAACUGCGAGUGUAGAGGUGAAAUUCGUAGAUAUUCGCAAGAACACCAGUGGCGAAGGCGGCUCACUGGCCCGGUACUGACGCUGAGGUGCGAAAGCGUGGGGAGCAAACAGG